GGGUCUAGAUUCCAGGCUGUGCUCUCAGAGGUGGACACGGGGGCUCCUUCAGCCAUGCCCUGGACGCUCUCCAGUGUCCACUGGCCUCACACUUCCUCUCACCAGGGGGCAACCUAUCAUCAAAAUACAUCGUUGGCAGGUCCAGCUUAUCUGUGUGGAAAAUAGACUGGGAAGGUAGAGGGAGCAGAGUUAGGCCAUUUGGAGGCUUCACCAUUCAGGUGCUGGACUACUUGCUACUUUGAUAUGCCGGUCUCUAAUUGUACCACCGUCUUCUGGGAGGAGAAUUUUGAAGAAUGAAAAGGAUCAGCAUGAAGGGCAA